UUGGCCAGGACGUAAACGUAUAAACGUCGUGUUUUUAUGUUUAACUCCAUUACCACAAUCGUAUGAGCCACAAGAUCGUCCAAAGGGAGUAGAUGAUAGGUAGAUGGUUGUAGUAGUAAUAUUCAUGGAUUAAGUAGUGUACUUGAAAGCGUUCAAAGUUCAAGAAUUUCUUGCUAGUUUUGCGAUCCAUACUACUGCAUUACUACUUCCUAAAGCACCGUGUGAAGUAGCGCUACGUGGAAUUACGGUUUGUUGCGGACGAUCAUGGUAUGCGAGAGUAUGAAUCAUGAGGUAUCGUGUUUGCUUUCUACCAUGAAAUCGUGCACUACGAUGUUUCUUGGUAUAACGAGUCGAAAUUAUAAUAGCAUCGAUGGACGAACGAUAAGAAUGUGGUAUGUGUAUGUGCAUCUGUAUGUGUGAAUUAUUGUUCAAUCAUCGAUUAUUUCAAUAACAACAACAACAACAAAAAUAUCAAAACAAUUUGCCUUUCCAAUGGGAGAUGUUAAUUCAACUAUUAUAAAAAUAAAUAUAUGAGAGUUCAAUUACGAUCAAUCAUUCGUACAAAAAUUGGAUAAUAUUUCUAUUAACCGAACCGUUACGUAUCGAGAAAAAGUUUCUUCUUCAAAUUACAUAAAUAUCAUGGUGUAUAUGAUAGAUCGAUUAAGACUAUCACGGACAAAAAAAAAAAGAAAAAUACCAUAAAAUAAAAUUACACUUACGAUUGGUGAUGACCGACGAUAACAAAAUUCGCCAUGAAUUUCGUAGGAAUUAAUGAGCACUCAACAUUAAGGAACGUUAAGACGAACUCAUGAAAGAAUCUUUAUUACAGUUAAUCCUAGCCAUGACUUCACGAACGUUUGCCAUGGGAAAAUGUUAGAUCGGUCAAGUUAUGAUGAUCGUUUAUAUAGCGGCAAAUUGUAUUCGAAAUCUAAAUCUCAUUGGUACUACUACCCACAUAAUGUUUUUACUGAAAUUACGUGUCCGCAUAUAUGCGCCCGCAUUAUCUCGUAUAGAAACGAAUCGACGAACGUGAUUAACUAUGAAAUUAUUAUCCUAUCUAUCUCACGUUCAUUUUGCAUAAAGCUUCGAGCAAAUAUUUAAUAAUUAAUGAUUACAUUUAUUAUGUGUUAAAAUAUAUAUAUGUAUAUAUGUAUAUGUAUAUACUGAUAUUUUAGUUAGAAGUUUUGUUUGAUUUUGUAACUAUAAUAUUGUAGUGUUAAAUGCAAAAGCACUGGUGUUAUGAAUGCGAUUACUGUAACAAGAAAUAAAGGAUUUAAUUAAAUUACAUAAACAA
rnacentral:lncRNA from 1 species